rnacentral:rRNA from 1 species
GACGUAGGGUCCAAGCGUUGUCCGGAUUUACUGGGCGUAAAGCGCGCGUAGGCGGUCUGUUAAGUGCUCAAGUGAAAGCUCCGGGCUCAACUCGGAAAUUGCUUUGCAUACUGGCAGGCUGGAGGGACGCAGAGGUCUGUGGAAUUCCUGGUGUAACGGUGAAAUGUGUUGAUAUCAGGAGGAACACCCAUGGCGAAGGCAGCAGACUGGGCGUUUCCUGACGCUGAGGCGCGAAAGCGUGGGUAGCAAACAGG